GCACACAUUUCAUCGUCUUCUUUUAUACCAAGAGAAAAGAUAUUUCUGAUGUGCUUGGGAGGUAAAUUGGCAGUGUGACUAAUUUAGCCUUUGCUGUCAGCCACCUUCAGACAAGU
rnacentral:snoRNA from 1 species